GCCUACAUGAAGCUGGAAUCGCUAGUAAUCGCGGAUCAGCAUGCCGCGGUGAAUACGUUCCCGGGCCUUGUACACACCGCCCGUCACACCACGAGAGUUUGUAACACCCGAAGUCGGUGAGGUAACCUUUUGGAGCCAGCCGCCUAAGGUGGGACAGAUGAUUGGGGUGAAGUCGUAACAAGGUAGCCGUAUCGGAAGGUGCGGCUGGAUCACCUCCUUUCUA
rnacentral:rRNA from 1 species